AUUGAACGCUGGCGGCAGGCCUAACACAUGCAAGUCGAGCGAGCGGCAGACGGGUGAGUAAUGUAUGGGGAUCUGCCCGAUAGAGGGGGAUAACUACUGGAAACGGUGGCUAAUACCGCAUACUAUCAGAUGAACCCAUAUGGGAUUAGCUAGUAGGUGGGGUAAUGGCUCACCUAGGCGACGAUCUCUAGCUGGUCUGAGAGGAUGAUCAGCCACACUGGAACUGAGACACGGGCCAGACUCCUACGGGAGGGAGCAGGGGGGAAUAUUGCACAAUGGGCGAAAGCCUGAUGCAGCCAUGCCGCGUGUGUGAAGGAGGCCUUCGGGUUGUAAAGUACUUUCAGCGGGGAGGCGUUACCCGCAGAAGAAGCACCGGCUAACUCCGUGCCAGCAGCCGCGGUAAUAC
rnacentral:rRNA from 1 species